GACGAACGCUGGCGGCGUGCUUAACACAUGCAAGUCGGACGGAAAGGCCCUGCUUUUGUGGGGUGCUCGAGUGGCGAACGGGUGAGUAACACGUGAGUAACCUGCCCUUGACUUUGGGAUAACUUCAGGAAACUGGGGCUAAUACCGGAUAGGAGCUCCUGCUGCAUGGUGGGGGUUGGAAAGUUUCGGCGGUUGGGGCUGGACUCGCGGCUUAUCAGCUUGUUGGUGGGGUAGUGGCUUACCAAGGCUUUGACGGGUAGCCGGCCUGAGAGGGUGACCGGCCACAUUGGGACUGAGAGACGGCGCAGACUCCUACGGGAGGCAGCAGUGGGGAAUAUUGCACAAUGGGCGGAAGCCUGAUGCAGCAACGCCGCGUGCGGGAUGACGGCCUUCGGGUUGUAAACCGCUUUCGCCUGUGACGAAGCGGGAGUGACGGUAAUGGGUAAAGAAGCACCGGCUAACUACGUG
rnacentral:rRNA from 1 species